rnacentral:rRNA from 1 species
ACGCUGGCGGCGUGCUUAACACAUGCAAGUCGAACGAGAGCGUAGAGAAAGCUUGCUUUUUCUACAAUCUAGUGGCAAACGGGUGAGUAACGCGUAAACAACCUGCCCUACGGAUGGGGACAACAGCUGGAAACGGCUGCUAAUACCGAAUACGUUCCGAAAGUCGCAUGACUGUCGGAAGAAAGGAUGGCCUCUAUUUAUAAGCUAUCGCCGGAGGAGGGGUUUGCGUCUGAUUAGCUAGUUGGAGGGGUAACGGCCCACCAAGGCGACGAUCAGUAGCCGGUCUGAGAGGAUGAACGGCCACAUUGGAACUGAGACACGGUCCAGACUCCUACGGGAGGCAGCAGUGGGGAAUCUUCCGCAAUGGGCGAAAGCCUGACGGAGCAACGCCGCGUGAGUGAAGACGGCCUUCGGGUUGUAAAGCUCUGUUAUACGGGACGAAUAGUCUUGUGGUUAAUACCCAUGAGAAGUGACGGUACCGUAAGAGAAAGCCACGGCUAACUACGUGCCAGCAGCCGCGGUAAUACGUAGGUGGCAAGCGUUGUCCGGAAAUAUUGGGCGUAAAGGGCGCGCAGGCGGCUUCUUAAGUCUGUCUUAAAAGUGCGGGGCUUAACCCUGUGAUGGGAUGGAAACUGGGAAGCUCAGAGUAUCGGAGAGGAAAGCGGAAUUCCUAGUGUAGCGGUGAAAUGCGUAGAUAUUAGGAGGAACACCAGUGGCGAAAGCGGCUUUCUGGACGAAAACUGACGCUGAGGCGCGAAAGCCAGGGGAGCGAACGGGAUUAGAUACCCCGGUAGUCCUGGCCGUAAACGAUGGGUACUAGGUGUAGGAGGUAUCGACCCCUUCUGUGCCGGAGUUAACGCAAUAAGUACCCCGCCUGGGGAGUACGGCCGCAAGGUUGAAACUCAAAGGGAAUUGACGGGGGCCCGCACAAGCGG